GACGAACGCUGGCGGCGUGCUUAACACAUGCAAGUCGAACGGAGUGGCGAACGGGUGCGUAACACGUGGGUGAUCUGCCUUGCACUUCGGGAUAAGCUUGGGAAACUGGGUCUAAUACCGGAUAGUGCAAGAUGAGCUCGCGGCCUAUCAGCUUGUUGGUGGGGUAAUGGCCUACCAAGGCGUCGACGGGUAGCCGGCCUGAGAGGGGGUACGGCCACAUUGGUACUGAGGUACGGCCCAGACUCCUACCGGGGUCAGCAGUUGGGAAUAUUGCGCAAUGAGCGGAAGCGUGAUGCAGCGACGCCGCGUGGGGGAUGGAGGCCUUCGGGUUGUAAAGGCCUUUCGGCUGAUAAGCGGUACCUGGAUAAGAAGCACCGGCUAACUACGUGCCAGCAGCCGCGGUAAUGC
rnacentral:rRNA from 1 species